GAGGGGGGGGGGGAUGAAUAGCGUUAUAAUAAAAAUUAGCGUAAACUUCCGGAAUUUAAAAAUUGCAGGAAAUAAAUAAGUGCGAUAAGUAAAUAAAUUAGAACAAACGCACCGAUAUAUCCUGGUUCACCACAACCCGUGCCAAGUCCAGUCCCCGAGAGACUCUCUCGAGAUUUCCACUAACUUGUUAAGCUUACGGGUGCUCAACAAACCGUUACAACUUGAGGACACAAGCCUCNNN
rnacentral:lncRNA from 1 species